CGCACUGUGCACGGUGGAGCGGGAGCUCCAGGUACCGGAGCGGCCACUGAGCGGCGCCGCAGCCCGCAACUUCCACCGCCUGACAUCCGCCGCUUCCUCCCCGCUGCACGCUGCAGGCGAACCCGCUCCCUCGCUGCCCGUGUCGGGUUACAGUCACAAGGCCACCCACCUCCCCCCUCCUCCCGGGCUGAAGCACGACUUUUAGGGAGAUAAUAUUACAGGGUUUUGUUGAGGGUUCCGCUGAGAAAGCCCGAUGCAAAGUGGGCCUACAGCCAACUGGGAUGGAUUCUAGGGUGGAACCUAAACAGAUGGGAGAUGGUAAAAAGGCUCACAGCUGAUCCACCCCCUGGUACACCAUUGAGACAGAGGAGGUUAAAGCACUCUGAGCGCAUGGAACCAUAUUGCAGAUGCGCAGAGGCUGUAAUGAAGAGCUCUUGAACCCGCAGUCAGAGAAGCUGUGACAGGAGUUCACGAGGAUUCCUCUUUGGUUCUGCUGGACGUACGACACACACACACACACACACACACACACACACUCUGUCACAUACACAGCCUAAGAGAGCAACUAACAGCUAAUACAAGAAUCAAAAUGAAGCCAUCACUCAUUCAUUGUUUCACAACUCACUAGCUUUUCAUUUGAAGUGUCCAGUCUUCCAACUGAUGCAGGAAAAAAAUAUCCACAAUCUUCCCUCCACCUCCUCUUUUAUUUUCUGUUUUCCUACCUACAUCAUUUAUUUUUGUACACAUGAAAGUACAGGAUAGAAACCUUUUAUGAGAAACAUCCUCAUCGUAGCAUAACUUGCGCCCUGUAUUUCCAGCCCUCUGAGCUUUGCUAUCAAUGCUGUGAUACUGCAGUGCAUCUUGGGGCAGCUGCAUUUUAUUUGGAGUUUUUCUGCCUUCAGGCCCUGAAUUGAAAUGGAGGAGCAAAUGGCUGGAAUGGCAAGUGUACCAUUCCUCGCUCUCUGCAGUCUCCCAACACAAACUGGUCAAGCAGAAAUGAGACCUGCAUCAAUUUUAAUUUGUAUUUAUCCUGCUGAUGACCCGGCUCCUUUCACUCUGCCUUCGGAGGCACAAAUUACACCCAUCAUGGCUCUGAUUCCAACAUCCCACGGUGUGCUAUCAGAAAAUUAACAUGGUUAUAUACCACCGGCGGGUUCAAGGUGUCACAACACAAUUAUACAAUCAUGCAACCUGACGAGCUCUGACUUGUCGCUGGUGUAUGACAACUAAGCUGGAGGGCUACACUGUCUGUCACAUCCAGGCGGGUAAGAUAAGUUCACUGGGGAGCAAAAUGUGCCUCAGUGUCUGCUUCUCUCUAUCUGAAUCUGUUAAAUAUCACGACUGCUGCAGUGACUUUUUU